UCCCUGGAAGUCUAUUGGUGAGGCCACAGUGCUCUUACCGCUGCAGCCAGGGUUCGAUUCCCGGCCAGGGAA